UACGUAGGCAGCGAGCGUUGUUCGGAGUUACUGGGCGUAAAGGGUGUGUAGGCGGUUUUCUAAGUUUGGUGUGAAAUCUCCCGGCUCAACCGGGAGGGUGCGCCGAAAACUGGGAGUCUAGAGUGCGGGAGGGGAGAGUAGAAUUCCUGGUGUAGCGGUGAAAUGCGUAGAUAUCAGGAGGAAUACCGGUGGUGAAGGCGGCUCUCUGGACCGCCACUGACGCUGAGACACGAAAGCGUGGGUAGCAAACAGG
rnacentral:rRNA from 1 species